rnacentral:rRNA from 1 species
GUGCUAAUCUGCGAUAAGCGCCGGUAAGGUGAUAUGAACCGUUAUAACCGGCGAUACCCGAAUGGGGAAACCCAGUGUGAUUCGUCACACUAUCAUUAACUGAAUCCAUAGGUUAAUGAGGCGAACCGGGGGAACUGAAACAUCUAAGUACCCCGAGGAAAAGAAAUCAACCGAGAUUCCCCCAGUAGCGGCGAGCGAACGGGGAGGAGCCCAGAGCCUGAAUCAGCAUGUGUGUUAGUGGAAGCGUCUGGAAAGGCGCGCGAUACAGGGUGACAGCCCCGUACACAAAAGCGCAUGUGCUGUGAGCUCGAUGAGUAGGGCGGGACACGUGGUAUCCUGUCUGAAUAUGGGGGGACCAUCCUCCAAGGCUAAAUACUCCUGACUGACCGAUAGUGAACCAGUACCGUGAGGGAAAGGCGAAAAGAACCCCGGCGAGGGGAGUGAAAAAGAACCUGAAACCGUGUACGUACAAGCAGUGGGAGCACAGGUUUACCUGUGUGACUGCGUACCUUUUGUAUAAUGGGUCAGCGACUUAUAUUCUGUAGCAAGGUUAACCGAAUAGGGGAGCCGGAGGGAAACCGAGUCUUAAUUGGGCGUUAAGUUGCAGGGUAUAGACCCGAAACCCGGUGAUCUAGCCAUGGGCAGGUUGAAGGUUGGGUAACACUAACUGGAGGACCGAACCGACUAAUGUUGAAAAAUUAGCGGAUGACCUGUGGCUGGGGGUGAAAGGCCAAUCAAACCGGGAGAUAGCUGGUUCUCCCCGAAAGCUAUUUAGGUAGCGCCUCGUGAAUUCAUCUCCGGGGGUAGAGCACUGUUUCGGCUAGGGGGCCAUCCCGGCUUACCAACCCGAUGCAAACUGCGAAUACCGGAGAAUGUUAUCACGGGAGACACACGGCGGGUGCUAACGUCCGUCGUGAAGAGGGAAACAACCCAGACCGCCAGCUAAGGUCCCAAAGUCAUGGUUAAGUGGGAAACGAUGUGGGAAGGCCCAGACAGCCAGGAUGUUGGCUUAGAAGCAGCCAUCAUUUAAAGAAAGCGUAAUAGCUCACUGGUCGAGUCGGCCUGCGCGGAAGAUGUAACGGGGCUAAACCAUGCACCGAAGCUGCGGCAGCGAACGUAUCACUUAAAGCGAUUCAGCGGGUUACGAUUGACGGAGCGAAGCGACGUCAAAGCGUAUACAAAGUCGAGUCGGUUUAAGGAUACGUUCGUUGGGUAGGGGAGCGUUCUGUAAGCCUGUGAAGGUGGCCUGUGAGGGUUGCUGGAGGUAUCAGAAGUGCGAAUGCUGACAUAAGUAACGAUAAAGCGGGUGAAAAGCCCGCUCGCCGGAAGACCAAGGGUUCCUGUCCAACGUUAAUCGGGGCAGGGUGAGUCGACCCCUAAGGCGAGGCCGA